GAUGAACGCUGGCGGCGUGCCUAAUACAUGCAAGUCGAGCGAACGGACGAGAAGCUUGCUUCUCUGAUGUUAGCGGCGGACGGGUGAGUAACACGUGGAUAACCUACCUAUAAGACUGGGAUAACUUCGGGAAACCGGAGCUAAUACCGGAUAAUACUUUGAACCGCAUGGUUCAAAAGUGAAAGACGGUCUUGCUGUCACUUAUAGAUGGAUCCGCGCUGCAUUAGCUAGUUGGUAAGGUAACGGCUUACCAAGGCAACGAUGCAUAGCCGACCUGAGAGGGUGAUCGGCCACACUGGAACUGAGACACGGUCCAGACUCCUACGGGAGGCAGCAGUAGGGAAUCUUCCGCAAUGGGCGAAAGCCUGACGGAGCAACGCCGCGUGAGUGAUGAAGGUCUUCGGAUCGUAAAACUCUGUUAUUAGGGAAGAACAUAUGUGUAAGUAACUGUGCACAUCUUGACGGUACCUAAUCAGAAAGCCACGGCUAACUACGUGCCAGCAGCCGCGGUAAUACGUAGGUGGCAAGCGUUAUCCGGAAUUAUUGGGCGUAAAGCGCGCGUAGGCGGUUUUUUAAGUCUGAUGUGAAAGCCCACGGCUCAACCGUGGAGGGUCAUUGGAAACUGGAAAACUUGAGUGCAGAAGAGGAAAGUGGAAUUCCAUGUGUAGCGGUGAAAUGCGCAGAGAUAUGGAGGAACACCAGUGGCGAAGGCGACUUUCUGGUCUGUAACUGACGCUGAUGUGCGAAAGCGUGGGGAUCAAACAGGAUUAGAUACCCUGGUAGUCCACGCCGUAAACGAUGAGUGCUAAGUGUUAGGGGGUUUCCGCCCCUUAGUGCUGCAGCUAACGCAUUAAGCACUCCGCCUGGGGAGUACGACCGCAAGGUUGAAACUCAAAGGAAUUGACGGGGACCCGCACAAGCGGUGGAGCAUGUGGUUUAAUUCGAAGCAACGCGAAGAACCUUACCAAAUCUUGACAUCCUUUGACAACUCUAGAGAUAGAGCUUUCCCCUUCGGGGGACAAAGUGACAGGUGGUGCAUGGUUGUCGUCAGCUCGUGUCGUGAGAUGUUGGGUUAAGUCCCGCAACGAGCGCAACCCUUAAGCUUAGUUGCCAUCAUUAAGUUGGGCACUCUAAGUUGACUGCCGGUGACAAACCGGAGGAAGGUGGGGAUGACGUCAAAUCAUCAUGCCCCUUAUGAUUUGGGCUACACACGUGCUACAAUGGACAAUACAAAGGGCAGCGAAACCGCGAGGUCAAGCAAAUCCCAUAAAGUUGUUCUCAGUUCGGAUUGUAGUCUGCAACUCGACUACAUGAAGCUGGAAUCGCUAGUAAUCGUAGAUCAGCAUGCUACGGUGAAUACGUUCCCGGGUCU
rnacentral:rRNA from 1 species